GUGGGUUCUACUACCCAGUAAUUAAUAGCCAUCGAAUGCUUGUGGUUUUACCGAAACGAAAACAAUUGGCUGACAUUCUUGGUUCAAUUGGCCUUUUGAAAACAUCUGAACAAUUAGAAAAGCAGUUGUUAAGCGGCUGGUUAAGACGGCAUGGUACAGAAGGUAUAAAAAGCUGUGAGCGCUGAUUUUCUCUAUUGAAUUGUUGUGUACUGAAUUACCAGUUGUUUUUAUAGUUCGUGACAUUUGUUAGGAAACAGUGGAAGUAAGAAAGUGCUGAUAAUUAGCAAACACUUUCACUGAUGUAGUUAGAAACAAACAAGGAAAUGAUUUUCAUAAAUUGGAUCACUUUAUUCAAUUGCCGAAAAUCUGCCUUACUCUCCCACUGGCUUUUUGACCUUGUGCCUGCCACAUUCCCAAAUGUCAGCUGGCGAAAAAUGCGUGUUUGGGAAAUGAGCUUGGGGCGUGCUUUCGUCCUGUCAUUACCAAAUGGCAUUCGCGUGUAAUUUGUCUUGUCUUUUUGGAGGAAUCUUUACGACUUUCCAGCUGUUUAAUGUAAAAAUCUUUACUUGCUCGCGGCGUUUGUUCUCAAUCAAUAUUUGCCCGCCAGCCAAAUAUUUUCCAAUCAAAUGGAGACCACAAGGACUACAGUUUACAUAGAAAAUAUUGUGUUUAAGGCGCAUAUUAAAUGAAAAUCGCUCGGCUGGUAUCUGAAAAAGGUUUGCCCUUUUCCCUGUUAUCUCUGGUAUCCUUGUUAUGCGGAACAUGCAACAGUUUUUGGGGCCUCGGCACGCAACACUCACUGAAUUAUGUUGACAGAAGCGUAUCAAUGUCACGGCUGAACGGGGAAAAGUGUGAGGUUCCGGGACUUGAGACAUGACAGAUGGCUCGAAUGCCAUUAAGGCGACAAAAUAACACAUCAGGAGAGUACAGUGAAGGCGCCCUAAAUCUAACACCAUUAUAUGUCCUUCUAGAGCUAAGAAUGUUGAUACAUUCAAUUUAGUAGAAAAUAAAUUCAACUGCUGAUACAAA
rnacentral:sRNA from 1 species